UCGGCAAAUUUCCUCCGUAACUUCGGGAUAAGGAGGACCCCAGUAGCGUGACGAGACUUGCUCUCCGAGCGUGAAGGGGUGGCACAAAAUUGAGGGAAGCGACUGUUUACCAAAAACACAGCAGCGUGCUAAGCCGUAAGGCGCUGUAUACGCUGUGACUCCUGCCCGGUGCUGGAAGGUUACGGGGAUGGGUUAGUCCUUUGGGACGAAGCUCUGAACCUAAGCCCCAGUAAACGGCGGCCGUAACUAUAACGGUCCUAAGGUAGCGAAAUUCCUUGUCGGGUAAGUUCCGACCUGCACGAAUGGAGUAACGACUUCCCUACUGUCUCAACCAUAGACCCAGCGAAAUUGAAGUACGAGUAAAGAUGCUCGUUAGCUGCAGAAGGACGGAAAGACCCCGUGGACCUUUACUAUAACUUGAUGUUGUGUUUUGUCAUAUGUUGUGUAGGAUAGGUGGGAGACAAGGAAGCAUGGACGCUAGUCUGUGUGGAGUCAUCGUUGAAAUACCACCCUGCAUAUGGUGAGGCUCUAACCUAGACCCGUUAUCCGGGUUGGGGACAGCGUCAGGCGGGUAGUUUAACUGGGGCGGUUGCCUCCUAAAGAGUAACGGAGGCGCCCAAAGGUUCCCUCAGCCUGGUUGGCAAUCAGGCGUCGAGUGCAAUGGCAAAAGGGAGCUUGACUGCGAGACCUACAAGUCGAGCAGGAGCGAAAGCUGGGCAUAGUGAUCCGGCGGUUGCGUGUGGAAGCGCCGUCGCUCAACGGAUAAAAGGUACCCCGGGGAUAACAGGCUAAUCUUGCCCAAGCGUCCAUAGCGACGGCAAGGUUUGGCACCUCGAUGUCGGCUCAUCGCAUCCUGGGGCUGAAGCAGGUCCCAAGGGUUGGGCUGUUCGCCCAUUAAAGCGGUACGCGAGCUGGGUUCAGAACGUCGUGAGACAGUUCGGUCCCUACCCUCUGUAGCCGUAGGUGAAUUGAGGAAAGCUGUCCCUAGUACGAGAGGACCGGGACGGACGCAGCUCUCGUGUGCCAGUUGUCCUGCCAAGGGCAUGGCUGGUUAGCGACCUGCGGAAAGGAUAACCGCUGAAAGCAUCUAAGCGGGAAGCCUCUUCCAAGAUGAAUUCACCCACAGGGUUAACCUGGUAAGGCCCGUGGUAGACCACCACGUUGAUAGGCCGGAAGUGUAGGCGUGGCAACACGUUCAGCUGACCGGUACUAAUCGGCCGAGGGCUUGAACA
rnacentral:rRNA from 1 species